UACGGGAGGCAGCAGUGGGGAAUAUUGCACAAUGGGCGAAAGCCUGAUGCAGCGACGCCGCGUGAGGGAUGACGGCCUUCGGGUUGUAAACCUCUUUCAGUAGGGAANAAGCGAAAGUGACGGUACCUGCAGAAGAAGCGCCGGCUAACUACGUGCCAGCAGCCGCGGUAAUACGUAGGGCGCAAGCGUUAUCCGGAAUUAUUGGGCGUAAAGAGCUCGUAGGCGGUUUGUCGCGUCUGCUGUGAAAGACCGGGGCUCAACUCCGGUUCUGCAGUGGGUACGGGCAGACUAGAGUGAUGUAGGGGAGACUGGAAUUCCUGGUGUAGCGGUGAAAUGCGCAGAUAUCAGGAGGAACACCGAUGGCGAAGGCAGGUCUCUGGGCAUUAACUGACGCUGAGGAGCGAAAGCAUGGGGAGCGAACAGGAUUAGAUACCCUGGUAGUCCAUGCAAUAUACGUUGGGCACUAGGUGUGGGGGACAUUCCACGUUUUCCGCGCCGUAGCUAACGCAUUAAGUGCCCCGCCUGGGG
rnacentral:rRNA from 1 species